AACCCCUUGACAUGUCCGGACGGUUUCCAGAGAUGGAUUCCUCCCAGCAAUGGGCCGGAACACAGGUGCUGCAUGGCUGUCGUCAGCUCGUGUCGUGAGANGUUGGGUUAAGUCCCGCAACGAGCGCAACCCUCGCCAUUAGUUGCCAUCAUUCAGUUGGGCACUCUAGUGGGACUGCCGGUGAUAAGCCGGAGGAAGGUGGGGAUGACGUCAAGUCAUCAUGGCCCUUACGGG
rnacentral:rRNA from 1 species